CGAUAUUAUUUAUUUAUUUUUGACAUGUAUCAUAGUUGAGUCUUUGUGGUCUGCAUUCGAUGCACUGAUGUAAGGUAACUGCUCACAGACUAGUAAUCCUGGUGCUUUUCCAGAAUCAGUUUUAGUACCUUACCAGUGUUGGCACUGAGAGAGUAAAAAAUGCGCUAGUUAGCAAGUGAGCAGAAUGCCAAGUCUUUCUUUAAUCACUAAAUUAGUUGUAAUAGUUUGCUUAAAGUGAUAGCUAAAUUGUUGUAAGUGUUGUAAGCAAUAACCGGCUGAAAUAGAUGGCUAUAAGUAAUGCUUAAAUGGGGUAAAAUGCCCAGCUUCCUCCACUGUAAGUGGAAAAAGUAUGACAGGCCAAACUUACAUUGACAGUUCAAUGUAGAAAAUUAUUGUAAUUAUAACGGUCCCAUUUUGAAAGCUCAAGUUAAGUUUUUUUGAGCCAGAAGUGACCAUACAAGGAAGACAGUGUGCUGUGCUAAGUUCUAGCUUUCUUAGAUAGAUGUAUCUAUAGACUGUAUGUGUUAUGUUCUGCCAUAUUUAUAGUUUUUCUUGUACUUUUGUUUCUCAUAUGCUUCUCUAUCUGUGUUCCUGUGUUUGUUUUAGUUUCGUUUUUUGCUUUUUUUUGCUUUUUUUUGUGUCAUUUCCUUGUUGAUUUCACCUGUGUUCAGUUGUUUUCACCUGUGCCCAGUCAGUCUUGUGUAUGUAUGUAGUCUUGUUUCUAACUAUGUUGUUUAAUCAGUCUGUUUGUCAGCUUGUGGUCUCCUUGUGAUAAUGUCUGAUGUUCUCGUGCUCCUCACACCUGCUUCUUCUGGAUUUCUUUGCUUGAAUUGUUGUUACUGGGUUUGGUUUGCUUUCAUUAAAGUUAUUGGUUUUUUUUAUUUGUAAAGUUCAUUUUGACAUGGGAGUCAAUGCUGAUUGGCUUACUUCAGGUGUCAGCCUCGAGUGGCCAUUCAAGGAACUGCAGCUUUUGACACUUCCUCAUUUUGUCAGCUCUGGGUUUUAUUGCUUUGUAUUAACAUUUAUAACCACAGUCACAGCUCAGUCACACUAGAGGAAAAAUAGGAUGGCAAGUUCAGAAACUUACUGCUAGUACAUGGCGACUAGCUGGUCACGCCUUCAGCCCCACGGUGACCACGUUUGACGAGCAUGGGUUGCAUGCUGGGAAGUAACCUGUCUCCAAACAAUUGUGGUCUGACUCAGAGGUGGGAAACAACGAAGUAUAAAUACUUCAUUACAGUACUUAAGUAGGAUUUUCAGGUAUCUGUGUUUUACUUGAAUAGUUAUUGAUUUUACGUUUCAGAGCCUAUACUUUUUCACUUUUACUUGAGUAAAGCAGUUGAAUCAGUACUUCAGUUUUUACUGGAGUAUUUUAUUUUAUUUUAUAUUGCAAUCAGUCUGUAACAGUCUGUGCUGAUAAGCACAAUUUAUCUCCGAUGCAUCUUUUUGCUGUAAGGGACAUGACUCAACUGUUUGCCGACUGGUUAUUUUUCCUUUAUAAAAGAAAGUUUGUAGAGCAUCAGUCAAAUUUUGCAGUGAAAUCAGCUUCCCACAGAAACUACAUCACUCAGGGAAUUUCUGCUUAAAUCUAUGAGGUUCUAGCUGCACUCUGAAUAUAAACUGUUAACAUGAAGUUCUGUGUAUGUAGAUAGCAACAGAUUUGGAAUUGUCCCCAAUUAUCACAGUUAAUUGCCAUAUUAUCACAAACAAUUUUAAUUGCCA
ensembl:lncRNA